GACGAACGCUGGCGGCGUGCUUAACACAUGCAAGUCGAACGGAAAGGCCCUGCUUUUGUGGGGUGCUCGAGUGGCGAACGGGUGAGUAACACGUGAGUAACCUGCCCUUGACUUUGGGAUAACUUCAGGAAACUGGGGCUACUACCGGAUAGGAGCUCCUGCUGCAUGGUGGGGGUUGGAAAGUUUCGGCGGUUGGGGAUGGACUCCCGGCUUAUCAGCUUGUUGGUGGGGUAGUGGCUUACCAAGGCUUUGACGGGUAGCCGGCCUGAGAGGGUGACCGGCCACAUUGGGACUGAGAUACGGCGCAGACUCCUACGGGAGGCAGCAGUGGGGAAUAUGGCACAAUGGGCGGAAGCCUGAUGCAGCAACGCCGCGUGCGGGAUGACGGCCUUCGGGUUGUAAACCGCAUUCGCCUGUGACGAAGCGUGAGUGACGGUAAUGGGUAAAGAAGCACCGGCUAACUACGUG
rnacentral:rRNA from 1 species